rnacentral:rRNA from 1 species
CCUACGGGAGGCAGCAGUGAGGAAUAUUGGUCAAUGGACGAGAGUCUGAACCAGCCAAGUAGCGUGAAGGAUGACUGCCCUAUGGGUUGUAAACUUCUUUUAUAUGGGAAUAAAACAGGGUAUGCAUACCCUCUCGUAUGUACCAUAUGAAUAAGGAACGGCUAACUCCGUGCCAGCAGCCGAGGUAAUACGGAGGAUCCGAGCGUUACCCGGUUUUAUUGGGUUUAAAGGGAGCGUAGGUGGAUUGUUAAGUCAGUUGUGAAAGUGAGCGGCUCAACCGUAGAAUUGCAGUUGAAACUGGCAGUCUUGAGUACGGUAGAGGUGGGCGGAAUUCGUGGUGUAGCGGUGAAAUGCGUAGAUAUCAUGAAGAACACCGAUGGCGAAGGCAGCUCACUGGACUGCAACUGACACUGAGGCUCGAAAGUGUGGGCAGCAAACAGGAUUAGAUACCCCAGUAGUC